CAGCAGCCACGGUAAUACGUAGGGUGCGAGCGUUAAUCGGAAUUACUGGGCGUAAAGCGUGCGCAGGCGGUUGUGUAAGACAGGUGUGAAAUCCCCGGGCUUAACCUGGGAACUGCAUUUGUGACUGGCAAGCUAGAGUGUGGCAGAGGGGGGUGGAAUUCCGCGUGUAGCAGUGAAAUGCGUAGAUAUGCGGAGGAACACCGAUGGCGAAGGCAGCCCCCUGGGCCAACACUGACGCUCAUGCACGAAAGCGUGGGGAGCAAACAGGAUUAGAUACCCCAGUAGUCCCUGUCUCUUAUAC
rnacentral:rRNA from 1 species